rnacentral:rRNA from 1 species
GAUGAACGCUGGCGGCGUGCCUAACACAUGCAAGUUGAGCGAUUUACUUCGGUAAAGAGCGGCGGACGGGUGAGUAACGCGUAGGAAUCUACCUGGUAGUGGGGGACAACAUGGUGAAAACCAUGCUAAUACCGCAUACGCCCUAUGGGGGAAAGCGGGGGACCUUCGGGCCUCGCGCUAUCAGAUGAGCCUGCGUAGGAUUAGCUUGUUGGUGAGGUAAAGGCUCACCAAGGCGACGAUCCUUAGCUGGUCUGAGAGGAUGAUCAGCCACACUGGAACUGAGACACGGUCCAGACUCCUACGGGUGGCUG